rnacentral:rRNA from 1 species
UAGUGGCGAACGGGUGAGUAACACGUGGGCAAUCUGCCCUGCACUCUGGGACAAGCCCUGGAAACGGGGUCUAAUACCGGAUAUGACCAUCUUGGGCAUCCUUGAUGGUGUAAAGCUCCGGCGGUGCAGGAUGAGCCCGCGGCCUAUCAGCUUGUUGGUGAGGUAACGGCUCACCAAGGCGACGACGGGUAGCCGGCCUGAGAGGGCGACCGGCCACACUGGGACUGAGACACGGCCCAGACUCCUACGGGAGGCAGCAGUGGGGAAUAUUGCACAAUGGGCGAAAGCCUGAUGCAGCGACGCCGCGUGAGGGAUGACGGCCUUCGGGUUGUAAACCUCUUUCAGCAGGGAAGAAGCGAAAGUGACGGUACCUGCAGAAGAAGCGCCGGCUAACUACGUGCCAGCAGCCGCGGUAAUACGUAGGGCGCGAGCGUUGUCCGGAAUUAUUGGGCGUAAAGAGCUCGUAGGCGGCUUGUCACGUCGGUUGUGAAAGCCCGGGGCUUAACCCCGGGUCUGCAGUCGAUACGGGCAGGCUAGAGUUCGGU